rnacentral:tRNA from 1 species
CAUAAGAUGGCUGAAAUAGUGUAAAUUUUUUAAAUUUAUCAUAGUAAAUAUUUACUUCUUAUGG